rnacentral:lncRNA from 1 species
CAUAGUGGUCGUACUAGUUUACAUUCCCACCAGCAGUGUAGAAGUGUUCCCUUUUCACUACAUCCAUGCCAACAUCUAUUAUUUUAUGAUUUUUUGAUUAUGGCCAUUCUUGUGGGAAUAAGGUGGUAUCACAUUGUGGUGUUGAUUUGCAUUUCCCUGAUCAUUAGUGAUGUUGAGCGUUUUUUCCUGUUUGUUGGAUAUUAUUCCUUUGUCGGAUAUAUAGAUUGUGAAGAUUUUCUCCCACUCUAUGGGUUGUCUGUUUACUUUGCAGAUGGUUCCUUUUGCCGUGCAAAAGCUCUUUAGUUUAAUUAAGUCCCA